rnacentral:rRNA from 1 species
AUUGAACGCUGGCGGCAGGCCUAACACAUGCAAGUCGAGCGAGCGGCGGACGGGUGAGUAAUGUCUGGGAAACUGCCUGAUGGAGGGGGCUAACUACUGGAAACGGUAGCUAAUACCGCAUACCCUCAGAUAUGCCCAGGUGGGCUUAGCUAGUGGGUGGGGUAACGGCUCACCUACGGGGCGAUCCCUAGCUGGUCUGAGAGGAUGACCAGCCAACCGGGAACUGAGACACGGUCCAGACUCCUACGGAAGGCAGCAGUGGGGAAUAUUGCACAAUGGGCGCAAGCCUGAUGCAGCCAUGCCGCGGGUGUGAAGAAGGCCUUCGGGUUGUAAAGCACUUUCAGCGGGGAGGCGUUACCCGCAGAAGAAGCACCGGCUAACUCCGUGCCAGCCGCCGCGGUAAUAC